GCCUGUAACCCGUGUGGGCACUAAGGAAGAGUGGAGUUCCUCCUCGCCUCGUCGGUCCUGGACCAUCGAUGCAGAAAUCGGGUCUGUCACGAGAUCGCUGUCAUCAUGGGUAUCCCGGAGGAGUUCGGGAUAACCAGGAUGGUUAAUUAGCGGAGAACCGGGCGAGGCCGUAACCGGAGCAGCUCAAACUCGCAACAGUGAUCAGCGUGCAGAUAGCCUGAUUGAAUCGGGCCCAGGGUCGCCGCCGAGG
rnacentral:SRP_RNA from 1 species